GCGCACUUAGCUCAAAUGGUAAGAGCAUCACUCUUGAAAUUUGAGGUUGUUGGUUUGAUUCCCACAGUGCACA
rnacentral:tRNA from 1 species